GUAGGGAAUCUUCGGCAAUGGACGAAAGUCUGACCGAGCAACGCCGCGUGAGUGAAGAAGGUUUUCGGAUCGUAAAACUCUGUUGUUAGAGAAGAAUGUUGAUUAGAGUGGAAAAUUAAUCAAGUGACGGUAUCUAACCAGAAAGGGACGGCUAACUACGUGCCAGCAGCCGCGGUAAUACGUAGGUCCCGAGCGUUGUCCGGAUUUAUUGGGCGUAAAGCGAGCGCAGGGGGUUUAAUAAGUCUGAUGUAAAAGGCAGUGGCUCAACCAUUGUGUGCAUUGGAAACUGUUAGACUUGAGUGCAGUAGAGGAGAGUGGAAUUCCAUGUGUAGCGGUGAAAUGCGUAGAUAUAUGGAGGAACACCGGUGGCGAAAGCGGCUUUCUGGACUGUAACUGACACUGAGGCACGAAAGCGUGGGGAGCAAACAGGAUUAGAAACCCGAGUAGUCC
rnacentral:rRNA from 1 species